CUAUUUUAUUAGAGCGUCGCAAUGACUCUCGGCAACGGAUAUCUCGGCUCUCGCAUCGAUGAAGAACGUAGCGAAAUGCGAUACUUGGUGUGAAUUGCAGAAUCCCGUGAACCAUCGAGUCUUUGAACGCAAGUUGCGCCCGAAGCCUUUCGGCCGA
rnacentral:rRNA from 4 species